rnacentral:rRNA from 2 species
CUUGAUUAAACCAUAAGAGGUCCAGCCUGCCCAGUGACAUUGUUCAACGGCCGCGGUAUCCUAACCGUGCGAAGGUAGCGUAAUCACUUGUCCUUUAAAUGAAGACUAGUAUGAAUGGCCCCACGAAAGCUAUACUGUCUCCUUUUUCUAAUCAGUUAAACUAAUCUCCCCGUGAAGAAGCGGGGAUAAACAUAUAAGACGAGAAGACCCUAUGGAGCUUCAAACAACUGAAACACUUGUAUAUCCUCCCCUCACCUGCCAACAUUUAACCUCACAUUUUGUUUCUAGUUUUAGGUUGGGGUGACCACGGAGAAAAAACUAACCUCCACGACGAAAGAGACAUCUCUAAACAAAAAGCCACAUCUUUAUGUAUUAACACAUUAACCUUUAUUGACCCAAUAAAUUGAUCAACGAAC